AGUGAACGCUGGCGGUAGGCCUAACACAUGCAAGUCGAACGGCAGCACAGUAAGAGCUUGCUCUUACGGGUGGCGAGUGGCGGACGGGUGAGGAAUACAUCGGAAUCUACUUUUUCGUGGGGGAUAACGUAGGGAAACUUACGCUAAUACCGCAUACGACCUACGGGUGAAAGCAGGGGAUCUUCGGACCUUGCGCGAUUGAAUGAGCCGAUGUUGGAUUAGCUAGUUGGCGGGGUAAAGGCCCACCAAGGCGACGAUCCGUAGCUGGUCUGAGAGGAUGAUCAGCCACACUGGAACUGAGACACGGUCCAGACUCCUACGGGAGGCAGCAGUGGGGAAUAUUGGACAAUGGGCGCAAGCCUGAUCCAGCCAUACCGCGUGGGUGAAGAAGGUCUUCGGGUUGUAAAGCCCUGUUGUUGGGAAAGAAAAGCAGCAGGUUAAUACCCCGCUGUUCUGACGGUACCCAAAGAAGAAGCACCGGCUAACUUCGUG
rnacentral:rRNA from 1 species